rnacentral:rRNA from 1 species
CCUACGGGAGGCAGCAGUGGGGAAUAUUGUACAAUGGGGGAAACCCUGAUGCAGCAACGCCGCGUGAAGGAAGAAGGUUUUCGGAUUGUAAACUUCUGUUAUUAGUGAAGAAUAAUGACGGUAGCUAAGGAGCAAGCCACGGCUAACUACGUGCCAGCAGCCGCGGUAAUACGUAGGUGGCAAGCGUUGUCCGGAAUUACUGGGUGUAAAGGGAGCGCAGGCGGGAAGGCAAGUCAGCAGUGAAAACUACUGGCUUAACUAGUGGACUGCAGUGGAAACUGGUUAGCUGGAGUGAAGGAGAGGUAGGCGGAAUUCCGAGUGUAGCGGUGAAAUGCGUAGAUAUUAGGAGGAACACCAGUGGCGAAGGCGGCUUACUGGGCUGUAACUGACGUUGAGGCUCGAAAGCGUGGGGAGCAAACAGGAUUAGAUACCCGAGUAGUC